GUAUCUAUGAUUGAACAACGUAUGCGAAUAGUUAGCAAUGUGAACCAUUGAGCUAGCUAUAUUCCAUAAAAAAAAUCAAACGCAUGUAUUUAGUGACAAAGGUGACCAGGUUCCAAUUCGAUGUAGCCUUUUAAUCACCUACAAAUUACAUUUGAAUGAAUCCGAAAUGUGUCAGGCUAAAAAACGUGAACUCACAAGUAAAUUAAUGGAACUCAUGGUAAAUGAUUUUCACAUGUAAAAUAAGAUAAUCUAUUAUGGUUGUUUUAACAACUAUGCAUUUGAUCUUCAGGUUGACCCAGGCUCAGUUCAGAAGAUGUUCUAUGUAUGGAGAUGAUGUCUAAAGCACUAAAAUAUAACAAAAUAUCUCACUUAACAUUAGCCUGUAUUAUGGCAAAACUCGGUGACUGACAUACUUUUAGCAAGAUGGAUUAAUUAAGAUGUGCAAUAGAUACUAAAAUGUUUCUGACAUGGCUACCACUCCAGUAGUCUAAAACUAUUCAUUUUUUAAAAAUAAGAAUGGUCAUUGUAUGAGUUUCUGCUGUAUGUACUGCACAUAAGAAGCCAUCCCCACGUAUGAUAAACCAACAUGCAAAGAGGUAGGCAAACUGACUACGGUGAUAUGAAUGCUAUACUUGUGACAAGUCGGGUUAAAUACUGAGUGUUAAAGUGUUUUUUAAAGAUCUGCGUGAACAAAUUAAUAAUAAUGGUGAUAUCCUGAAAGUAAGCGUGUAAAUAUUUUUACUUUUAUAACAAAUAUCACGUUUGUGGUGAUGGAGAUUACCUUCAAGAUGGAUUAAACUUUGAAACUAUUCCGUGUACAAAGCUGGUUAUACACAACAAUUACAACAGGAACAUCAUCAAGAAGUGGCUAUUGACGUACAUGCUUUCAAAGAAAAAAAAACUGCCUCGCGUCGCGGGUACGUUAAAUGCCGAUGAUGAAGCAGAAAGAGCUCGAAAAAAACAUGUUCUUUGCCAGAAUCUGAUAGCUGGAAACGCCUAGCGAAAGAACUGGGGUACAGCAGCAGGCGUAUAUUACAGCUAGAAUCUAAGCACGCGCGUGAGAAGAACACGUGCUUUAAGCAUCUCCUUCAUGACUGGGAACGACGUGACCUUGCCACGGUGUCGCGUCUAAUUUAGUGUCUACGUAACGUCGGACGCAAAGACGCCGCGAGGGUCAUUAACGUUGACACGACGGAAGGAAGAACGCAGCUUCUUUCGAAACCGCCCAGCUCCGCCCAAAACGAGGCCUGAGUGAAGUUAAAGAUACCUUUGCGGGUUUUGAUUGUGUAGUUGUGAUACAUGUCGGUUUAUGUCGCCGGAUGGAUAAGAAACGAUGAGGUCAUUAACGUUGUCGUGAAGACUUUUGUUAUGUGAUUGAAAUCUUGAAAUCCGUUUGAUUUGAAAUUAAUGAUGACUUCAUAUUUUUUGCUGUGAUGUAAAUCUGUAGGCUGUGCACUGAACGAUGACGAUGUCGUGUUGUAUGUGCAUUCUGUUUCGAAUGACUGAUGACGUCAUCAUGCUUGUAAAGGUAGGUUUUGAAAUGACCAAUGACGUCAUGAUCAUUGACGUAUGCGUGAUUGGUUGGAUUGGCGUCGCGUAUAUGGUGUCCACCUAGCAACCGAGAGGUAACAGGUUCGAUUUAAGAGCAUUCUUCAGACCCCCCCCCCCAAAGGCAUAAAGUACCUGUCCUUCCCAUGAAACGGACAAUCGAGCUAACAUAAAAAGUUUUAAAAUAUAAAGUCAUAAUAAACCUUUCAUUGUUUUCUAAUAAUAUAUGGAUGGAGACGGCAGUUUUCUAGCGCUAUGAGACGUCUAUAAAGUGAUGACGUCACACGAUUGAAGCAGGUCGUUGUUUUACUUGGUUGAUGUUUCAUCCUUUUAAAAGACACAAGUCCAACACAUGUUUUAUUGUAUACUCGUUGUUACAGACACAUAUAACAUUGCCUUUGUAUAUUAUUCCUUGAUUAUUAUUUCGACGAAUAUUUUUCUUAAAUCGAUUAAACGUGUAUUGAAAAACGAUUUGUUUUAAUUAAAAGUUAUUUAUUAAUUUUAAAAUGUGUUUCUCUAGUCUAGUGAAUUAUAAGUGUUGCAUAAUAUUUUUAUUGGUACGUGUACUUAUGUUUUUUAAAUGAGUAUGUUUUAAUGAUUAAAGAAUAUUGAAAAAACAAUGAAUACAAUCACGACAACUGGUCUAUUGUUAAUAAUGCAGGCGUUGUAAUACAUCAAACCAUACUGUGUUUUCAAUAUUAUAACGUUAUUGCUCAUAUAUUACAUUACUUACAAUUUUUAAUUAAAUAUUCUAUGGUCACGAAUAUGGUUGGUUUUGACGUUAAAGAUUUCGGAUCCAUUUGAGUUUAGAUAGACACAUUUGAGUUAUUUCGCUUGAUUACAUGUUUAUUGCUAUGUACAAGGGAGAACACUCUUAUUAAAUAUGUAUUCGAAAAAUUGUCACACUUAGCUCCCUCUAAUGAUUUUCGGGCUGAAAAACAAAAAAACGUAAAAAAAAAACGUAGGCGAAUAAACUUUAAUUCUGUUUGUUUUUAUUUGUUCUUAGGGGACACAGAUCUUCUUGUAUUCAUUUUGCCGCGUUUUUCUUUAUAGUUUCAUGCCUCAUAUGAGACUAGUGCCAGUUCGUAAUGAGACAACUUACAGUGAGUUGUUUUAUUUCAUGUAGCCAUGGUGAUCAGUGACUGUUUUGACGGCACUGCUCGACCUCUGUUAUAUACGCUUUGUAUUUCGAAUUGCUCAUAUUUAUUGGAUGAUGAUAUUAUUAUAUACAUUUUCUGUUUCAAAUGUGUGUAAAGUGUAUAUGCAAUAAAACAGUAAACCUGUUAA